GCUAGCCGGAAGUUACUCCCGUAUUCGUGACGUGUACUUGUAACUACUAUUUGCAGUUGCUGCUGACAUCAAAUUCCAUACUCAAAUGCGGCUAGAGUUUGCUGAUAAAUUAUAGCCACGUUCAGUACCAUAGGAAAGGGAUCGUGAUACGACCUACAAAAAUGACAACCAUGUUCGCAGACACUAUUCUUAUUGUUUUCAUCUCUGUUUGCACAGCUCUGUUAGCUGAGGGUAUGUAACUAACGUUACAGUAGCUAGCCAACGUUAAUUUUAGCUAAGCUAUCUGGCUGACUUUAGCUAGCUACCUGAUACUGACUUUCUAAUUUUGGCUAGCAACCAUCAAACAUAUUCGUGAUGUAUUUUAUUUGGUUAACGCUGAGUGCUGUAGAUGUUUUGUCAUUUGGAAACCUGUUUAAUCCGGGGCAUGAGUAGCACGACGCUUCUUAGCUUUGGGACACAACAUUGGGAAUUACAUGGGUGUUGGUGUAUCGUACUGCAAAGUACAAGAGUCUGAAGGCAGAGGUGGAAAAGCAAAGCAAGAAAUUGGAGAAGAAGAAGGAAACCAUUACAGAAUCUGCAGGACGUCAACAGAAGAAGAAGAUUGAGAGACAAGAGGAGAAACUGAAGAACAACAACAGAGAUCUAUCCAUGGUACGAAUGAAGUCCAUGUUCGCCAUUGGCUUCUGUUUCACAGCGUUGAUGGGAAUGUUCAACUCCAUCUUUGAUGGAAGGGUGGUGGCCAAACUGCCAUUCGUCCCACUGUCCUACAUUCAGGGUCUUUCCCAUCGCAACCUUUUGGGCGAGGACUUCACUGACUGCUCAUUCAUCUUCCUGUACAUUCUCUGCACCAUGUCCAUCAGACAGAACAUCCAGAAGAUGCUGGGUCUGGCCCCCUCCAGAGCUGCCACCAAGCAGGCUGGAGGUUUCUUGGGACCCCCUCCCCAGGCAGCUAAGUUCUCCUAAGAACCAAGCAUAUGGGUGGCCUUCCAGGCUGACUACAUUACAUUACAGUCCAAUGGUUGUGUACCAUGUCAUCGAGUGUGCAGCCGAGCAUCAGAUCCUAUAUCAUAUGAUGUGAUUUUUGCAAUGUAGUCUGCUUAGAAUGCGUCUUCAGUCCUAUUUCUACACUGUGACUGUCUGGCCACAGAGAGAAGGGAGAGGACAGCCCCCUCAUCUGUACAGAGAAUGACAUUGCUGUCACAACGAUGGAUGGGGCGACUCUUUGUAUACAUUGAAUACCAUCAGCAGCUACUGUAUCAUUCAUUCAUUACCUGUACCCAUUAUUUCAUUGAAGUUUGUAGUGGUAGUACCUGGUUUGACCCAUUUUCCUUAUUUUGAUGCUUUAAGUUUUAGUUAGAUUAGUUUGACAUUAAAGUAGCUAUGAUUGUGAGUGCUAAUGAUUUACAAAAUGUUACAAAAGUGUGAAAUAUAUCCUGUUUAUUUUCAGAUAAACAUUGUGAUAAGAUGCUAAACAAAAAUCGUAUGAGAUUGGAAUAAAUUAAGCAGACCUGGGAGUGGAUUGGCUGUUUGGUUCAUCAGUACAUUGUGAUUGCCUGGCUCUGUAGUAUUUCAUUUCUUACUUAAUGAAUAAAUGUUUUAUCAAAUUUUA